rnacentral:rRNA from 1 species
AGUGAACGCUGGCGGUAGGCCUAACACAUGCCAGUCGAACGGCAGCACAGUAAGAGCUUGCUCUUACGGGUGGCGAGUGGCGGACGAGUGAGGAAUACAUCGGAAUCUACUUUUUCGUGGGGGAUAACGUAGGGAAACUUACGCUAAUACCGCAUACGACCUACGGGUGAAAGCAGGGGAUCUUCGGACCUUGCGCGAUUGAAUGAGCCGAUGUCGGAUUAGCUAGUUGGCGGGGUAAAGGCCCACCAGGGCGACGAUCCGUAGCUGGUCUGAGAGGAUGAUCAGCCACACUGGAACUGAGACACGGUCCAGACUCCUACGGGAGGCAGCAGUGGGGAAUAUUGGACAAUGGGCGCAAGCCUGAUCCAGCCAUACCGCGUGGGUGAAGAAGGCCUUCGGGUUGUAAAGCCCUUUUGUUGGGAAAGAAAAGCAGCAGGUUAAUACCCCGCUGUUCUGACGGUACCCAAAGAAUAAGCACCGGCUAACUUCGUG